GCCUAUAAUUUUUUGGACCACCCAACGACCUAUCUUCCUUUUUCUUCUAGGCAGUCCACAAAUGCCAGUGAACCGACUCGAAACAAUAAAUAACGCAGCAAGUCAGACACCGUUUCCCUCCCUUUUCGGUACUAUCAAACCCAAACCCAUUAGUUUUCAUGACCAAACAAUACCCAUAGAAACAACAAGAAAACUCCAUCUACGGCGAACCAUGAAAACUCCAUCUCCAGAGAGCAAAUCUGGCUUGAAGAUCAAGCAUUCCACCAGUGACCAUUGCUUGAAGCCAUUAAUGGCGAAGUUAUUAUCGGAGUAUUGAGCCACCAUUCAUAUUCUCCGGCGAAACAUGCUAGCUCCUGCAAAGCUCAGAUCCAAAAUCGACCACCGCGAGCUCGAAGCUCAAGCGACAAAGCGUAGAACCCUACCUUCGUUUCUCCAUUCUCCAGCGUUUCCAUCGAUUCUCCAGCGAAACCCACAAAAUUCUACGAGACCCAGUGGCCUCUCUAUCGUUCUCUAUUUCUUAUGAUUACUACUCUCCAAUCUUCUUCUCUCCCUCCAUCUCCGGCAGCCGCCCCCUCUCCUCUCUUCCCCCCAUUUCUCCCCCUUUCUCCUUCCCCUGUUCUCUUCUUCUUUUUCAGGGACAGCGACGGUGAGUUGCAACAACCAGCAGCAGUGGCCAGCUUCCAGGCAGCCUGCAACAGCAAACAGCAGCUAACAAUCAACGUUGAGGUCUGCCAAUAGCUCACCCAUACACAUCAACGAAUCAGGCUGUCUUCUGCUAACGAAUAUCUGUGGUCUCCAAUUUGAAAUCUUGCCGCGCUGAAAGCUGCCUCUUAAGCUACUGAUGAUCCUUGAAUUGCAAGCACAUCCUUCACCAUCCUACUAAGUUUUGGAUAUUGAGCUCCACGAUUUCUCCACUAGUUCAAUAGUUUCGGUAUACCAUUAUCGUUUGUAAUAUCAUCUGUACCCUGUUCAAGAUAUUUAACAAAUUCACAUUUAUUAGAAGAGUCAAGACCAAGUUUAUGUUUCA